CUGUACCUCAAAGAUCUGGACACCACAUGGAUAUAACUUGUGCUUGUGCUGAACAAAUUGGACCUACUCUUUAUUGAAAAUUUUUUUCAUAUAAUAUUUUUUGUUACUUUUUUAUUGGACCUAUUCUUUAUUGAACGUUUUUUUCAUGUAAUAGAGUUACCUUUUUUUUGGUUUUGAUGGGAAAAAGUGCAAGUUUGCAUACGGUUCUAAAAUUAGAAAAGUACAGUUCUAAUAACAUCUUUAAGGUACUAUAUUCAAGAAGCGAAAAUUUAAAUGACAUAAAUGUAUUUCAGUCAUUAGGAAGUUUACGUUUAGAAGUUAUUUCCAAUAGUUCAACUACAGAACCAGUUUAAUCAUGGAACCAGAAUGAUUCAGUAGUUAACUACUUUCAGUACUAGUUUUAUAAAGAUCAAUAAAGUCUUGUUUUGCUGAUUAGUGAAGCUGUUAAUAAGAGUAUAAAGAUAUUUGUGACAAACUUUAUAGUAUUUUUUAAUCUCUUACAGUAAUAGAAGCACCUUGCAUCUUUUAAAAUUAUACUAGAGGCACAAGUACUGAUUUGAUCAUAAGUUUUUGAGUUUUUUACCUUUUCUGUUUGCCAAAUUAUAUGAGUUAUCUCAUUAAAACCACACAAAAACUUAAUAUGAAGAAUGAUAAAAAUAAUUACAUAAAAAUAGUGAAAUUAGCUGAGAAAAUCUUGCCCUCAAGUUGGAAGAUGUUAUCUCUGAGUACCUUGAAAAAGUGCAUUUUCUUUUGCUUACUGAUAACAGGCAAAUAAUCCAGUUAAAUAAAGCACUGUAAAACUAGUGUGUGCAAUUUCUGGCCUAAAUACAGAAAAAAUAGUAACAGGAGGCAGAUACGUAAACAGAGUAAAUAGCCAUAGGCCUAUAUAAACAUCCUUCUUGAACCAAAAACUAAGGUAAAAUGAGCUGCAACAAAUGGCUACCAAAAGAUAUUAUGUGAAGUCUAUUCCAUAGGCUAUUUUUCUUCCCUUCUUUCCCCUCCCCACAGCUUUUUAAAAAACCAUCAUGCUGAUUGAAUAAUUGUAGAGACUGGAAAAUCUCAAAUUGAUAUCCUUAUAUAAAAUCCUGCCUCAGCUCAUUAGUUCAGAAAGAAAUCCAAAAGUUCAGUUCUCUGAGUUGCUUCAACACAUAAGUAUAUUAGUUUUAUGAAAGAUUUUUUUUUUAUUUCAUAAAACCUUAAUACUUCUGCCAGAAUCAGAAGUGCAUUGUGCUCUGGUACAAUUUACAUGAACUUUGGUUCCCACCACCUGUUAGCUGCGCAGCGUUUUGCCAAUUAAGCUCUUUGAGACUCGGCUCUUAAAUUCAAUUAUAAGACCAGAAUCUUGCUGUUUUUUCUAUACAUCCCAUCUGUUGUUUAUUUCUGUUUCUACUUUUCAUGCACUUUUGGUUUUAAUUGAAUAAUUUUUGUGUUCC
rnacentral:lncRNA from 10 species